rnacentral:rRNA from 1 species
AGAGUUUGAUCAUGGCUCAGAUUGAACGCUGGCGGCGUGCCUAACACAUGCAAGUCGAGCGGUAACAGGUGUAGCAAUACAUGCUGACGAGCGGCGAACGGGUGAGUAAUGCUUCGGAAUCUGCCCAAUGGUGGGGAAUAACCAGCCGAAAGGUUGGCUAAUACCGCAUACGUCCUACGGGAGAAAGCAGGGGAUCGCAAGACCUUGCGCCGAUGGAUGAGCCGAAGUCGGAUUAGCUAGUUGGUAGGGUAACGGCCUACCAAGGCGACAAUCCGUAGCUGGUCUGAGAGGACGACCAGCCACACUGGGACUGAGACACGGCCCAGACUCCUACGGGAGGCAGCAGUGGGGAAUAUUGGACAAUGGGGGCAACCCUGAUCCAGCGACGCCGCGUGUGUGAAGAAGGCCUGCGGGUUGUAAAGCACUUUUAGUGGGGAUGAAAAGCUCAGGGUUAACACCUCUGGGUCUUGACCUAACCCACAGAAAAAGCACCGGCUAACUCUGUGCCAGCCGCGGCGGUAAUUC